UACGAAGGGGGCUAGCGUUGCUCGGAAUUACUGGGCGUAAAGGGCGCGUAGGCGGAUGUUUAAGUCGGGGGUGAAAGCCCAGGGCUCAACCCUGGAAUAGCCUUCGAUACUGGACAUCUUGAGUACGGGAGAGGUGAGUGGAACUCCGAGUGUAGAGGUGAAAUUCGUAGAUAUUCGGAAGAACACCAGUGGCGAAGGCGACUCACUGGCCCGUUACUGACGCUGAGGCGCGAAAGUGUGGGGAGCGAACAGG
rnacentral:rRNA from 1 species